GUCGUUUCCCUCAUCAUGUGGGAUUUUGGGGGCUGUGAAGGGGAGUAGAGUAGAGAGUGGGGCUAGACAGGGUCGAUUAUUGAUCAAAAAUGACGAAGGAUCUGUGGAUUUUUCGGUGAUGGUGGUCGUUUUCCGGUCAGGUAAUUGUCUGAAAAGAGGUAGAGAAAACGAUGAGCGCACAAUGCGAUGCCGUUUUUCAAUUUUUCACACUCUCAAUGGGCUAAUAUUCCUACACUGACGGUCCAAUGUUAGAGCUCCGUAAACACCGAUAUUUCACUGGACGAAUAGGCGCUGCUACUGUUCUUAAUUCUUUUGAAUGGGGUUUGUCUAUUUUAUGUAAAUUUUUGACUUAAUUGUUGAAUUGGGUUGGUUCCUUAUUUCAAUCUUUUAGCUAGGUUUGUCUGAUUUUGAUUUAAUGUUUUGUUACAGGAUUUGUAUUAAUUUAUUUGGAAAUAGGAA
rnacentral:lncRNA from 1 species